CUAGAAUACCUUUGCUGAGCUCCUGGGUGGAAAAAAAGGAGAAUUUACCUGAGUCCAACCCAUCUGCACGUGCUGAAAACAGAGAGGAUCAGCAAAACUGGAACUGUUCAGAACCACAUGUUACCUUCCAUGUGCCGUGAGUGGAGCUCUCAGGCUCAUCAGAGGAAGAUCAGAAUGAACUCCACCUCCGUGGCCUCACCUUGCUGGCACUGCAGUUUUACAUACUCAGGUUGAAAGUGCAAAGAGGCAACAGGGAGAUGGAGAGCGCUGACUUCACCCUGCAGUGCACAACACAGGGAAGGUGUCAGGUGUUGCACAGAGCUUCAUGGCACAUCUCCAUACCCAGCUCAGAUGUCUGCUUGUGGAUAAGAGUCUCUGGGUCAAACCCUACCUCAGUUAUGGAGGUCCCAGGCUGUCUGGUAGCAGGAAGAUGCCCACAUAGCUCUUGGCAUGAUUUGUCCCCUUGUUUCAUUAUUUUCCUUCCCUACUCUGACCUAUUAUUAACAGACCCACCUUCUACCUAGUGCUUCUGUUUCCCCUGAUAUAUUUGUAAAAGGCCUCUUAUUCUCCUUAAUCCCUUUGGCUAUAAUUAACUCAUUCUGCAUUUUUGCUGCCCUUAUCUUUUCCCUGCAAGCCUUAACUGACUGAAUAUUCUUGUUUGGUUGCCUCCCUGUUUUCCAUUUCUACUAAAGGUUUUCUUUUUAAUCCUUAGAUCUCUGAGUGGGCUUUUGCACGCUCUUAUUUCUUGCCAUCUUUAUUUACUCGUUUUUUCUAUUUUCCUUUAAUUUUUGUUCCACAUAAUGACUCCAUCUUCCUCACACCCAGGUAGAGUUCAGGACAACCUCAGGUGACACCUCAAUUUCUUAAUUCCUUUCAAUGCAUUUUUCUAUUUUUCCUUUGGCACUACACUUCUUCUUCUUCUUUUUUUUUUUUUUUUGCAGUGUUCAAUUUGUCCCUUCCACCCUUCCACUUUGUAGAUUCCCAUGUUCCCUUCUUUCAUUCAAUACCUUUUGUUAUACAGAAAAUGUGC
rnacentral:lncRNA from 1 species